rnacentral:rRNA from 1 species
GAUCCUGGCUUAGGAUGAACGCUAGCUACAGGCUUAACACAUGCAAGUCGAGGGGCAGCAUGAAGUCAGCUUGCUGACUUGAUGGCGACCGGCGCACGGGUGAGUAACGCGUAUCCAACCUACCCCAUAGUAGGGGAUAGCCCGUAGAAAUGCGGAUUAAUACCCUAUGUUUUCCGAGGAGGACAUCUGACUUGGAACAAAGAUUCAUCGCUAUGGGAUGGGGAUGCGUCCGAUUAGCUUGUUGGCGGGUGACGGCCCACCAAGGCGACGAUCGGUAGGGGUUCUGAGAGGAAGGUCCCCCACACUGGUACUGAGACACGGACCAGACUCCUACGGGAGGCAGCAGUGAGGAAUAUUGGUCAAUGGGCGAGAGCCUGAACCAGCCAAGUAGCGUGCCAGGAAGACGGCCCUACGGGUUGUAAACUGCUUUUAUCAGGGGAUAAAGUGUGGGACGCGUCCCUCAUUGCAGGUACCUGAUGAAUAAGGACCGGCUAAUUCCGUGCCAGCAGCUGC